rnacentral:lncRNA from 1 species
CCUUUCCUCCCCAAAUCAAAAUCUAAUGGUAUAAAUUUAGAAAGAGAGAGAGAAAGAACCAAUCUGAAAAUUAGGGAAUAUGUACAAAAUGGUAUAAAAUACAAAAUAUUUAGAGAGAGAGAGGAGGGAAGAAGAGAACCCAACAUGAAAAAUAAAGGAAUAAUAUUAAAUGUUAUAAAUAUUUAGAGGUAUAAUUAACAUUUAGAGAGAGAAAAAAAGGGUACCCAAUGAAAAAAAUUAGGGGAGCACCCCAUUUAGAGGGAGAAAGGAGGACAGAGAGAACCAAUCUGAGAAAUUUUGGAAUAUAUAAAUAGAAGAGUGGAUGAGAUGGCGUGUUUAUUUUAGAGAGAGGAGAGAGAAAGGAACUCCAUUUUUAGAAUAUAUAAUUAAGGAUUAACAGGGGAGGAGAGAGGAAGGAUUCUAGAGAGACAAUUUUG